rnacentral:misc_RNA from 1 species
UUGCUACAAACCUGAAGUCAUAUAUGUCGUUUCUUUUUGUCAGUUCAGGUGCUGAUUGAAAACUCUCAUUCUGCCACAUCCCACUUGACCAAUAAAUGUCGUUUCGCCGCCAAACAAGCAGCUGAUUAGCACCACUUGGAUCCAGGCCUAGCCUGAAAGCCCCUGGAGCAGGAACUUUUUCACCUAACCAUGAAGUGAGUGACCAGUUUUGUCCAGUCUUGAGAUUCAUGCCUAGUUUCAUUCCAGGCAGUAACAUAUUAUGGGGAUAGUCAAAACUUUGCCAUAAAAUAGGUCCUGCAAUACCACUGGAAUCAACUUGUUGAAUGACAAGGUUUCCUG